rnacentral:tRNA from 1 species
UCCCUGGUGGCUCAGACGUGAAAGCGUCUGACUGCAAUGCAGGAGACCCAGGUUCGAUCCCUGGGUUGAGAA